UACGGGGGGGGCAAGCGUUGUUCGGAAUUACUGGGCGUAAAGGGCUUGUAGGUGGCCAACUAAGUCAGACGUGAAAUCCCCCGGCUUAACCGGGGAACUGCGUCUGAUACUGGAUGGCUAGAGAUUGGGAGAGGGACGCGGAAUUCCAGGUGUAGCGGUGAAAUGCGUGGAUAUCUGGAGGAACACCGGUGGCGAAGGCGGAUCUCUGGGCCGAUACUGACGCUGAGGAGCGAAAGCGUGGGGAGCGAACAGG
rnacentral:rRNA from 1 species